rnacentral:rRNA from 1 species
CGUGAGAUGUUGGGUUAAGUCCCGCAACGAGCGCAACCCUUGUCCCUAGUUGCCAGCAUUCAGUUGGGCACUCCAGGGAGACCGCCGGUGACAAACCGGAGGAAGGUGGGGGAUGACGUCAAGUCAUCAUGGCCUUUAUGGCCAGGGCUACACACGUGCUACAAUGGCAAGUACAGAGGGAAGCCAACCGGCGACGGGGAGCCAAUCCCAGAAAACUUGUCGUAGUCCGGAUUGGAGUCUGCAACUCGACUCCA